rnacentral:rRNA from 1 species
AACGCUAGCUACAGGCUUAACACAUGCAAGUCGAGGGGCAUCAGGAAGAAAGCUUGCUUUCUUUGCUGGCGACCGGCGCACGGGUGAGUAACACGUAUCCAACCUGCCCUUUACUCGGGGAUAGCCUUUCGAAAGAAAGAUUAAUACCCGAUGGCAUAAUGAUUCCGCAUGGUUUCAUUAUUAAAGGAUUCCGGUAAAGGAUGGGGAUGCGUUCCAUUAGGUUGUUGGUGAGGUAACGGCUCACCAAGCCUUCGAUGGAUAGGGGUUCUGAGAGGAAGGUCCCCCACAUUGGAACUGAGACACGGUCCAAACUCCUACGGGAGGCAGCAGUGAGGAAUAUUGGUCAAUGGGCGCUAGCCUGAACCAGCCAAGUAGCGUGAAGGAUGAAGGCUCUAUGGGUCGUAAACUUCUUUUAUAUAAGAAUAAAGUGCAGUAUGUAUACUGUUUUGUAUGUAUUAUAUGAAUAAGGAUCGGCUAACUCCGUGCCAGCAGCCGCGGUAAUACGGAGGAUCCGAGCGUUAUCCGGAUUUAUUGGGUUUAAAGGGAGCGUAGGUGGACUGGUAAGUCAGUUGUGAAAGUUUGCGGCUCAACCGUAAAAUUGCAGUUGAUACUGUCAGUCUUGAGUACAGUAGAGGUGGGCGGAAUUCGUGGUGUAGCGGUGAAAUGCUUAGAUAUCACGAAGAACUCCGAUUGCGAAGGCAGCUCACUGGACUGCAACUGACACUGAUGCUCGAAAGUGUGGGUAUCAAACAGGAUUAGAUACCCUGGUAGUCCACACAGUAAACGAUGAAUACUCGCUGUUUGCGAUAUACAGUAAGCGGCCAAGCGAAAGCAUUAAGUAUUCCACCUGGGGAGCACGCCGGCAACGGUGAAACUCAAAGGAAUUGACGGGGGCCCGCACAAGCGGAGGAACAUGUGGUUUAAUUCGAUGAUACGCGAGGAACCUUACCCGGGCUUAAAUUGCAGUGGAAUGAUGUGGAAACAUGUCAGUGAGCAAUCACCGCUGUGAAGGUGCUGCAUGGUUGUCGUCAGCUCGUGCCGUGAGGUGUCGGCUUAAGUGCCAUAACGAGCGCAACCCUUAUCUUUAGUUACUAACAGGUUAUGCUGAGGACUCUAGAGAGACUGCCGUCGUAAGAUGUGAGGAAGGUGGGGAUGACGUCAAAUCAGCACGGCCCUUACGUCCGGGGCUACACACGUGUUACAAUGGGGGGUACAGAAGGCAGCUAGCGGGUGACCGUAUGCUAAUCCCAAAAGCCUCUCUCAGUUCGGAUCGAAGUCUGCAACCCGACUUCGUGAAGCUGGAUUCGCUAGUAAUCGCGCAUCAGCCACGGCGCGGUGAAUACGUUCCCGGGCCUUGUACACACCGCCCGUCAAGCCAUGGGAGCCGGGGGUACCUGAAGUACGUAACCGCAAGGAUCGUCCUAGGGUAAAACUGGAGACU